UACGAAGGGGGCUAGCGUUGCUCGGAAUCACUGGGCGUAAAGGGUGCGUAGGCGGGUAAGUAAGUCCGUGGUGAAAUCUCUGAGCUUAACUCAGAAAACUGCCGUGGAUACUAUUUGCCUUGAAUAUUGUGGAGGUGAGCGGAAUAUGUCAUGUAGCGGUGAAAUGCUUAGAUAUGACAUAGAACACCAAUUGCGAAGGCAGCUCACUACACAAUCAUUGACGCUGAGGCACGAAAAGCGUGGGGAGUCAAAACAGGAAUUAGAUUACCC
rnacentral:rRNA from 1 species